UCCCGUGUAGCUCAGUUGGUAGAGCAUGGCGCUUGCAACACUAGGGUUGUGGGUUCAAUUCCCGCAGGGAG
rfam:Salmo salar isolate Sally breed double haploid chromosome ssa16, whole genome shotgun sequence.